CGGACCCACAUCAGCUCCAUAGCGUAUAUUAAGUUGUUGCAGUUAAAAAGCUCGUAGUUGAAUUUCGGGAUCAAUGUGUCGGUCGUGCCUUCGGUACGUACUGGCGUCAUUGGUUCCUCCCUUCUGAAGAACCGUGAUGUCAUUAAUUUGAUGUUACGGGGAAUCAGGACUGUUACCUUGAAAAAAUUAGAGUGUUUAAAGCAGGCCA
rnacentral:rRNA from 1 species